rnacentral:rRNA from 2 species
UGGGGAAUAUUGGACAAUGGGCGCAAGCCUGAUCCAGCCAUGCCGCGUGAGUGAUGAAGGCCCUAGGGUUGUAAAGCUCUUUCACCGGUGAAGAUAAUGACGGUAACCGGAGAAGAAGCCCCGGCUAACUUCGUGCCAGCAGCCGCGGUAAUACGAAGGGGGCUAGCGUUGUUCGGAUUUACUGGGCGUAAAGCGCACGUAGGCGGACUAUUAAGUCAGGGGUGAAAUCCCGGGGCUCAACCCCGGAACUGCCUUUGAUACUGGUAGUCUUGAGUAUGGUAGAGGUGAGUGGAAUUCCGAGUGUAGAGGUGAAAUUCGUAGAUAUUCGGAGGAACACCAGUGGCGAAGGCGGCUCACUGGACCAUUACUGACGCUGAGGUGCGAAAGCGUGGGGAGCAAACAGG